rnacentral:rRNA from 1 species
CCCUUAGACACUCUAGGCGGCACGCGCGCUACAAUGGGUGGAAGAACGUGUUACUGCCUCCGAAAGGAGGGGUGAAUCACGAAUUCUUGCCCGUGAAUGGGAUAGUUUGUUGCAAUUUUCGGACUUGAACUAGGAAUCCCUUGUAAACAUGCUCAAGGAUAGCGUGUUGAAUACGUCCCUGCCGUUUGUACACACCGCCCGUCGUUUCUUCCGACUGAUACUCAUUGUGAGUUGCAAGGACCCUUUAUUGGGAAAUUGCUGCAAAUGCUUUGUAUUGGAGGAAGAAAAAGUCGUAACA